rnacentral:rRNA from 1 species
AAUAGAUACCCGGGUAGUCCACGCCGUAAACGAUGAGUGCUAAGUGUUGGGGGGUUUCCGCCCCUCAGUGCUGCAGCUAACGCAUUAAGCACUCCGCCUGGGGAGUACGGUCGCAAGACUGAAACUCAAAGGAAUUGACGGGGGCCCGCACAAGCGGUGGAGCAUGUGGUUUAAUUCGAAGCAACGCGAAGAACCUUACCAGGUCUUGACAUCCCGGUGACCACUAUGGAGACAUAGUUUCCCCUUCGGGGGCAACGGUGACAGGUGGUGCAUGGUUGUCGUCAGCUCGUGUCGUGAGAUGUUGGGUUAAGUCCCGCAACGAGCGCAACCCUUAUUCUUAGUUGCCAUCAUUCAGUUGGGCACUCUAAGGAGACUGCCGGUGAUAAACCGGAGGAAGGUGGGGAUGACGUCAAAUCAUCAUGCCCCUUAUGACCUGGGCUACACACGUGCUACAAUGGACGGUACAAACGGUUGCCAACCCGCGAGGGGGGAGCUAAUCCGGAUAAAAACCGUUCUCAGUUCGGAUUGUAGGCUGCAACUCGCCUACA